rnacentral:tRNA from 1 species
AGCAUGUUAGCUCAGGGGAAGAGCGCCGGGCUCAUAACCCGGAGGUACGUUUCACCGAGUCCAAUUUCACCCACAACAUCAUAACUAACAAUCAAUAGGGCCCUGGAUCGAAACCAGGACAUGCUA